UGUUGAAUCUAUAUUCUUCAAAUGUGCCU
rnacentral:piRNA from 1 species